GGCUCUGCAGUGCAAUGGAUAGCACAUUCAACGGAUGUGGGUUCGAGUCCCACCAGAGUCG
rnacentral:tRNA from 1 species